ACACGAGGAAACUUGUGCUAAUACCGGAUAAGUCUUUACGGAGAAAGCUUUAUGCACCAUUGGAUGAGCCUGCAUUUGAUUAGUUUGUUGGUAGGGUAAUGGCCUACCAAGACUUUGAUCAAUAGCUGAUUUGAGAGGAUGAUCAGCCACAUUGGGACUGAGACACGGCCCAAACUCCUACGGGAGGCAGCAGUGGGGAAUCUUGCACAAUGGAGGAAACUCUGAUGCAGCGAUGCCGCGUGAGUGAAGAAGGCCUUUGGGUUGUAAAGCUCUUUCGUCGGGGAAGAAAAUGACUGUACCCGAAUAAGAAGGUCCGG
rnacentral:rRNA from 1 species